GACGAACGCUGGCGGCGUGCUUAACACAUGCAAGUCGAACGGAAAGGCCCUGCUUUUGUGGGGUGCUCGAGUGGCGAACGGGUGAGUAACACGUGAGUAACCUGCCCUUGACUUUGGGAUAACUUCAGGAAACUGGGGCUAAUACCGGAUAGGAGCUCCUGCUGCAUGGUGGGGGUUGGAAAGUUUCGGCGGUUGGGGAUGGACUCGCGGCUUAUCAGCUUGUUGGUGGGGUAGUGGCUUACCAAGGCUUUGACGGGUAGCCGGCCUGAGAGGGUGACCGGCCACAUUGGGACUGAGAUAUGGCCCAGACUCCUACGGGAGGCAGCAGUGGGGAAUAUUGCACAAUGGGCGGAAGCCUGAUGCGGCAACGCCGCGUGCGGGAUGACGGCCUUCGGGUUGUAAACCGCUUUCGCCUGUGACGAAGCGUGAGUGACGGUAAUGGGUAAAGAAGCACCGGCUAACUACGUG
rnacentral:rRNA from 1 species